AUUGAACGCUGGCGGCAGGCCUAACACAUGCAAGUCGAGCGGAUGAAGGGAGCUUGCUCCUGGAUUCAGCGGCGGACGGGUGAGUAAUUCCUAGGAAUCUGCCUGGUAGUGGGGGAUAACGUCCGGAAACGGGCGCUAAUACCGCAUACGUCCUGAGGGAGAAAGUGGGGGAUCUUCGGACCUCACGCUAUCAGAUGAUCCUAGGUCGGAUUAGCUAGUUGGUGGGGUAAAGGCCUACCAAGGCGACGAUCCGUAACUGGUCUGAGAGGAUGAUCAGUCACACUGGAACUGAGACACGGUCCAGACUCCUACGGGAGGCAGCAGUGGGGAAUAUUGGACAAUGGGCGAAAGCCUGAUCCAGCCAUGCCGCGUGUGUGAAGAAGGUCUUCGGAUUGUAAAGCACUUUAAGUUGGGAGGAAGGGCAGUAAGUUAAUACCUUGCUGUUUUGACGUUACCAACAGAAUAAGCACCGGCUAACUUCGUG
rnacentral:rRNA from 1 species